rnacentral:ncRNA from 1 species
UUUCUUGGGCCGGCAAAUCCGUUAAACAACAACGUAGGUUGCCUAAGGGGGACUACUCAUAGAGAACAGAGAUCUCCAGCAGAGCAAAAGGGUAAAGGUCCCCUUGGUUUUAAUUUGUGUGAAUACGAACCAUGAAAGUGCGGUCUAUCGUUUUCCAUCGAAAUUUGAGGCCAGAG